GACGAACGCUGGCGGCGUGCUUAACACAUGCAAGUCGAGCGGUAAGGCCCUUUCGGGGGUACACGAGCGGCGAACGGGUGAGUAACGCGUGGGUGACCUGCCCUCAGCUCUGGGAUAAGCCUGGGAAACCGGGUCUAAUACCGGAUAUGACUCCAUGACGCAUGUUGUGGGGUGGAAAGCCUUGUGCGGCUGAGGAUGGGCCCGCGGCCUAUCAGCUUGUUGGUGGGGUGAUGGCCUACCAAGGCGACGACGGGUAGCCGGCCUGAGAGGGCGACCGGCCACACUGGGACUGAGACACGGCCCAGACUCCUACGGGAGGCAGCAGUGGGGAAUCUUGCGCAAUGGGCGAAAGCCUGACGCAGCGACGCCGCGUGAGGGAUGAC
rnacentral:rRNA from 1 species